rnacentral:rRNA from 1 species
UACGUAGGGUGCAAGCGUUGUCCGGAAUUAUUGGGCGUAAAGAGCUCGUAGGCGGUCUGUCGCGUCGGCUGUGAAAUCCCGGAGCUCAACUCCGGGUCUGCAGUCGAUACGGGCAGACUGGAGUUCGGCAGGGGAGACUGGAAUUCCUGGUGUAGCGGUGGAAUGCGCAGAUAUCAGGAGGAACACCGGUGGCGAAGGCGGGUCUCUGGGCCGAUACUGACGCUGAGGAGCGAAAGCGUGGGGAGCGAACAGG